GACGAACGCUGGCGGCGUGCCUAAUACAUGCAAGUCGAGCGAGCGGAACCAACAGAUUUACUUCGGUAAUGACGUUGGGAAAGCGAGCGGCGGAUGGGUGAGUAACACGUGGGGAACCUGCCCCUAAGUCUGGGAUACCAUUUGGAAACAGGUGCUAAUACCGGAUAAGUAAAAGCAGAUCGCAUGAUCAGCUUUUGAAAGGCGGCGUAAGCUGUCGCUAAGGGAUGGCCCCGCGGUGCAUUAGCUAGUUGGUAAGGUAACGGCCCACCAAGGCGAUGAUGCAUAGCUGGUCUGAGAGGAUGAACAGCCACAUUGGGACUGAGACACGGCCCCAGACUCCUACGGGAGGCAGCAGUAAGGAAUUUUCGGCAAUGGGGGCAACCCUGACCGAGCAACGCCGCGUGAGUGAUGAAGGUCUUCGGAUCGUAAAACUCUGUUGUCGGGGACGAAUGUUGAGACCUAGAACAUAAGUUUCAAAUGACGGUACCUGACGAGGAAG
rnacentral:rRNA from 1 species